ensembl:lncRNA
AUGUAUUAUUAUUAUUAUUAUUAAAGGAAAGACAAGGACUUAAAUACCAAACACAGGGCACACAACGAGUAACAGCUGAAACACAUUAGGGGAGGGAGCAGUAAUCACACAGGAGGGAAACUUGACCAGACAUGGGGAGAAACAAGACAGGGGUACGAAAGUAAAACAGGAAACGCAGGGAAACACAACAAAACAAGACAAGGGGCCCGUUUCAGAAAGCAGGUUAAACAAACUCUAAGCUAAAACCUUAAGUCUAGGUUGACCAACUCUGAGCUGUAAAACUCUGAAUUUUCGGUUUCAGAACAGGUGAUAACGCUUAGUUCAAUCAACUCUGAGUCAAGGUAACUCUGAGUGAAGCUUGUGCAUGAGGAUAUAAAAAGCCCUCAUCAAUGGAACACAGAUGACAUGAUUCACCAUGGCAACAAGUACUAGCAAGCCUCGUUCCUCCUACUUCUCCCCAGCGGAGUUGCAAAUCUUAAUGACUGCAUAUGCAGAAAGCGAGCAUAUCUUUUUACUCAAAAGCAAUACUAUGGCAGCAGCCAAAAAGCGGGAGCUUGCGUGGGAAAAAAAAACUGACCGAGUCAAUGCGUGCAACCCAACAGGCCCCAAACGGACUUGGCAGCAACUAAAAAUGAAAUAUAAAAAUGUAGUUGAAACAGAAAAAAGGCAGAGGCACGCAAAACAGGUGGCGGUCCACCACCACCACUUCUCACAGAGGCUGAAGAGAUGGCCCUCAGUCACAACAGUGGGCGACCCAUUGCUGAGGGCAUCUCUGGGGGGAGCUCAUUGGACCCAGCCACGCCCCAGGACACAGGGGCCUACAUAAGAGUUACUGAUGAUGGUGUAAUCUGUCUCGUGGAGCCUUCUGCCAUAACACACCUCCAUGCUGUUGAGGAUGGUGAAGACACCUUAUCAGCUGCCACAGAGAGGGAAGAUGCAGAGAGGCCUGUUGAGAGCAAUGCCGGAAGUUACAAUGAGGAAGAAGGUCCAUCAACCUCCACAGCACAGCUUACCUCAGUAAGAUGUUGUUCAGCAUUGACCCACAACUUACAAUGACACUAAGUAGACAUGGCACUGUGAAAUUCAACGUCAUUUAUGUUCCUAUAGCUCCCUGUGAAACAACUUUACAAAGUAUAUUUAGAAUCCCAAAUAAACAAAUCACACCUAGAAAUGGAGCACAUAAGGCUGCAGAUCACCAAAACAAAAAAGGAAAUACAGCUGCUGGACCAUCAGUUAAAGGUCGGUGACGUGCCCACAGGUGGAUGUUUUGACAUCCUUAAUUGUUUCGACAACAAAGGAUUAACAACUGUACAACAUUUGCCGUUCUAGGAAAUAAGGAAGACCCCAUAAAAUGAGGCAUAAUGUCGUUCUUUGACACUGGGGAGGUGAUUGGUCAGUUAGAAAUGAUUGAAGCAUAUCAUGUCUCUAAAAGCUCUUCCAUCUCGUGCAUCUCGUGCAUCAGCAGGGGGGUCAGGAUUAUUAUCUGGAUCAUUGGGGGAAAGAGUAGGACAUUGUUCACCUCUAAUAGUGGCAAUGUUGUGGAGAACCACACAUGGCACUAUAAUGUCACAAGCCCUUUCCGGGGUGACCCUGAGCCUACGAAGGCACUGGAACCGGGCCUUGAGUAUGCCGAUGGUCAUCUCCACUCUGGCUCGUGUCCUGCAGUGAGCCAAGUUGUAGUGUCUCUGUGGGCCAGGGUCAGGGUAAGGGGUCAGCAGAUAGCGCUGGCAGGGGUACCCUCUGUCUCCGAGUAGAUAACCAUCAAACUCUCCUAUGAUAAUACAAAAUACACUUUAUUGUUUCAGUUGCAAUAGGAGGAAACAAAAUAUUGAUCAUAGGAUAUAACUAUAUACUGGAUAUAUAAACUAUAUAUAUAAACUCACCACGGGCAAAUCUGGCACUAGUGUAGACUCAUGAAACAUUCGUGAGUCAUGCACAGACCCAGGCCACUUCGCUUCCACAUUAUUUAUCAUGUGGGCUGCGUCACAUAUGAUCUUCACAGUGGAGAACAGUAAUUAGCUGUAUAGUGAAGUAUAUUUCAUUUGGAAUGUUAAAGGCUACUAUUUAGACCUACCUGUACACAGUGGUGGGUAGUAACGCAUUACAAGUAAAAAAGCAAAUGAGUAAAAAAGUAAAUUUUCGGGUGACGAGUACUUUUCACGUUCCUUUUUUAAGUCUGUAAUUUUACUCUUACUCAAGUAAAUAUUUGAUUUAGAAUUCUACUCUGUACUCAAUUACAUUUUCCAUUGUGCUUUCAUUAAAAUGACUAUUUUGAUAAAAACAUUAUCUUCGUUGACUGUGAUACAAGCGUACACGAUAGCGACGCGUUUUCCCUAGGUUGCAACGUGAGUCGACCGUUACGUUGGGACUGAGGACUAGAAACGGACGCGCAGGAAGAUAUUUUCGCCAGUGGGUGCAGAGUUACGGUCCACGUAGGCUAUAGUUUAUAUAAUUCUAAAGAAACUAUGUUACACUGUAUUCUGCAGACCACUCACAAACUUGUUCGUCAUUGUCGUGUCUGGCUCUGUGAGCGUCCGUGCAUGCUAUGUGCGUAGGCUGGAUAAAUAUGAUUGCUCAAUCAGCCAACCAAGUCAGUCUCGUUUGUGUUUAAUUGGUUGUGUUCCUACAAAGCUCUUGCCUUUUGUCACAUGCACAGAGCUUAAUGCAAAUUUGUUUGAAAUUAAAUUACAUUUUUUGUUGUACAUAUUGCAUUUGUUGUACAACUUGUGAAGAAAUGUUUUAGGAGUGCAUCUCUUUCUCUCCCUCACUCACUCACGCAGCCGCGUGCCGUCCAUAUGUAUGGCAAGCCAUCCCCGCCAGAAAACGGCAUCAUUUAGACGCGUAUCACCUUCAUUACGC